rnacentral:misc_RNA from 1 species
GAAAUGCGAUAAGUAAUGUGAAUUACAGAAUUCAGUGAAUCAUCGAAUCUUUGAACGCACAUUGCGCCCGCCAGUAUUCUGGCGGGCAUGCCUGUUCGAGCGUCAUUUCAACCAUCAAGCCCCGCGCUUGUGUUGGGGACCUGCGGCUGCCACAGGCCCUGAAAACCAGUGGCGGGCUCGCUGUCACACCGGGCGUAGUAGAUUUUAUCUCGCUCAGGGCGUGCUGCGGGUUCCGGCCGUUAAAAAGCCUUUUUUACCCAAGGUUGACCUCGGAUCAGGUAGGAAGACCCGCUGAACUUAAGC